GAUUUGUCCUUUGAAAGCGAUAGCGAUUUCUACAAUGUAGAUGACGAAACUCUAAAGCCAAAAAACUGCUUUGCAGCACCACGUGAGAAAUUGAAAAAAUUCUCUAAGGAAAAUUAUCAAUCUAGAACGUCGAAUAAAAAACAAACAAAUCUGAGUGCAAUAAAACUUGGCUCACAAAUGUCACAAAGUAGCAUUUCUUCUCCAAUAAUGACUACAAGACCUCCCUCUCCUGACACCUCUAAUGUCACAAUGCGCCAAGUAUUAAAAGAAGUGAAACUCCUGAGAACAGAAGUAAGGGAUAUGCGGGAAAAUCAAAUAAUUCUAAAGAAUAUGUUUGAAAAUAUGGUCGCUAUAAAUUAUUUUUCGAAAAAAAAUUUCGUUCAGCAAUAUGAUUUAAAUUGACCUUUCAAACCAUUGAGGACCUACAAAGU